rnacentral:sRNA from 1 species
UUUCUGAAAUUUGGGAUACAGUUACAUCUUGGCAACUGAGCUACAGUUCUGAAAUUUGGGAUACAGGUAUAUCUUAGCAGUAUGUACCGGGUGACCAGAAGAUUUUUUUGAUAUUCGUACAUUUCGGUACUAAAACGGUACUUUCAUUAAAGACUGAGCUACAGCUCUGAAAUUUGGGAUACGCGUACAUCUUGGCAGUAUGUACCGGAUGACCAGAAGAUUUUUUUGAAAUUUGUAUAUUUACGUAAUAAAACGUACAAAUUGCGUAACAGUUACACUUUGACAGUAAAUGUCGGCCGACUAAA